GAUGAACGCUGGCGGCGUGCCUAAUACAUGCAAGUCGAGCGAACGGACGAGAAGCUUGCUUCUCUGAUGUUAGCGGCGGACGGGUGAGUAACACGUGGAUAACCUACCUAUAAGACUGGGAUAACUUCGGGAAACCGGAGCUAAUACCGGAUAAUAUUUUGAACCGCAUGGUUCAAAAGUGAAAGACGGUCUUGCUGUCACUUAUAGAUGGAUCCGCGCUGCAUUAGCUAGUUGGUAAGGUAACGGCUUACCAAGGCAACGAUGCAUAGCCGACCUGAGAGGGUGAUCGGCCACACUGGAACUGAGACACGGUCCAGACUCCUACGGGAGGCAGCAGUAGGGAAUCUUCCGCAAUGGGCGAAAGCCUGACGGAGCAACGCCGCGUGAGUGAUGAAGGUCGUCGGAUCGUAAAACUCUGUUAUUAGGGAAGAACAUAUGUGUAAGUAACUGUGCACAUCUUGACGGUACCUAAGCAGAAAGCCACGGCUAACUACGUG
rnacentral:rRNA from 1 species